rnacentral:lncRNA from 1 species
UUCUUUUCUUCGAUGAGCUUGACUCCAUUGCCACUCAGGUAUUGUCAUGUGUUCCGUAUUCCCUUUUCGUUACUUAUGCCCUUUACCUUUUAUCAAAAAAAAAAUUAAUGAACAUCUUUGAUAACAGAGAGGUAGCAGUGUUGGAGAUGCUGGUGGUGCUGCAGACAGAGUAUUGAACCAGCUUCUUACAGAGAUGGAUGGAAUGUCUGCUAAGAAGACUGUCUUCAUCAUCGGAGCUACAAACAGACCAGACAUCAUCGACCCUGCACUUCUGCGUCCUGGUCGUCUCGAUCAGCUCAUUUACAUUCCUCUUCCUGAUGAGGAGUCUCGUUACCAG